rnacentral:ncRNA from 1 species
AUUUGUUUAACUAUGGCAAUAGAAAGUUUUCCGCAGGCUAACCGCAUAAAAUGUGUUUUUUUUUGUAUUGCUUAUGUUUGACAUACGUUUAUUAGCGGGUAGUUUUUUAUUUAAACGUGAGUUUUUUAAGAGUCUGCCGGGAUAAAAGGGGAUCGGACACAGUGCCAGCAUCCGCGGUUAUUCUGUUUUCUUUGCUUUUUUCUAGUCAGCAGUGUUACGUUUAUAGGCAAGGUUAGGUGAAAAUUUCUUGUUUUUAUUACAUGCGUGGCAAAGCGUAGUAAAUAACUUAUGAGCGACAGGGAUUAGAUACCCCAUUAGCGGGUUAUGUAAUGUGAUUUAGUUGUAUAACUAAAAUAGUUUGGCAGCGAGUUAUUCCUAUCAGGGGAAGGUGCAGUGUAAGGGACGAUCCGCCAAAUAAUUAACCUAAUUUAUGUUGGUGUACAUCUGGUUUAAUAUUAAUGCUUAAUGGCUUAAUUUGUGUAUAGGUUUAAUUUAAGCCAAGUCUAUGUGCUGCAUGAUUAGGGUUCUUGUGCGUUACAUUUAUAAUAUGUUUGCUGUAAAUGAGAUUUAUUUAGGACUUGAAAGUAAUAGAACUUUUGGAUAAGCUAGCUUCUGUGAAAGGGGUUUAACUCGGGUACACACCGCCCGUCACCCUCGACAUUUGUUGAGGUAAGUCGUAACAAGGUAACCCCAGAGGAAUCUGGGGUUAGUUGCUUACGGCGUUA